rnacentral:rRNA from 1 species
CCGGGCCUUGUACACACCGCCCGUCACACCAUGGGAGUGGGUUGCAAAAGAAGUAGGUAGCUUAACCUUCGGGAGGGCGCUUACCACUUUGUGAUUCAUGACUGGGGUGAAGUCGUAACAAGGUAACCGUAGGGGAACCUGCGGUUGGAUCACCUCCUUACCUUAAAGAA